GUGUUACUGUGUUCCAUGAACAUAGAACUAUUGUCCUUUGUUUAUUCUCUCUGCUGUCUGAUUGGCUCCCUCUCUCUCUAGCAUCAGACAGCAAAGAGAAUGAACAAAGGACAAUAGUCCCACUUCACGGAACACAGUAACAC